GAGUAAUGUCUGGGAAACUGCCUGAUGGAGGGGGAUAACUACUGGAAACGGUGGCUAAUACCGCAUAACGUCGCAAGACCAAAGAGGGGGACCUUCGGGCCUCUUGCCAUCAGAUGUGCCCAGAUGGGAUUAGCUUGUUGGUGAGGUAACGGCUCACCAAGGCGACGAUCCCUAGCUGGUCUGAGAGGAUGACCAGCCACACUGGAACUGAGACACGGUCCAGACUCCUACGGGAGGCAGCAGUGGGGAAUAUUGCACAAUGGGCGCAAGCCUGAUGCAGCCAUGCCGCGUGUAUGAAGAAGGCCUUCGGGUUGUAAAGUACUUUCAGCGGGGAGGAAGGUGUUG
rnacentral:rRNA from 4 species